rnacentral:rRNA from 1 species
GAUGAACGCUGGCGGCGUGCCUAAUACAUGCAAGUCGAGCGAACAGACGAUGAGCUUGCUCCUCUGACGUUAGCGGCGGACGGGUGAGUAACACGUGGAUAACCUACCUAUAAGACUGGGAUAACUUCGGGAAACCGGAGCUAAUACCGGAUAAUAUAUUGAACCGCAUGGUUCAAUAGUUAAAGACGGUUUUGCUGACUCAUAUAGAUGGAUCCGCGCCGCAUUAGCUAGUUGGUAAGGUAACGGCUUACCAAGGCAACGAUGCGUAGCCGACCUGAGAGGGUGAUCGGCCACACUGGAACUGAGACACGGUCCAGACUCCUACGGGAGGCAGCAGUAGGGAAUAUUCCGCAAUGGGCGCAAGCCUGACGGAGCAACGCCGCGUGAGUGAAGAAGGUCUUCGGAUCGUAAAACUCUGUUAUUAGGGAAGAACAAAUGUGGAAGUAACUAUGCACGUCUUGACGGUACCCAAUCAGAAAGCACCGGCUAACUACGUG